AUCCUUGGCUCGUGCUCAUGACAACUGGGUGUUCAUGUGGUUUGUGUGAGAUAUGCCUCCCUCAGGCCUAUGGCAAGGCUGGCACAUACUCAUCUGACU